rnacentral:rRNA from 1 species
UUUGGAAGAAAAGUUGAUCCUGGCUCAGGACGAACGCUGGCGGGCGUGCCUAAUACAUGCAAGUCGAGCGGACAGAUGGGAGCUUGCUCCCUGAUGUUAGCGGCGGACGGGUGAGUAACACGUGGGUAACCUGCCUGUAAGACUGGGAUAACUCCGGGAAACCGGGGCUAAUACCGGAUGGUUGUUUGAACCGCAUGGUUCAGACAUAAAAGGUGGCUUCGGCUACCACUUACAGAUGGACCCGCGGCGCAUUAGCUAGUUGGUGAGGUAACGGCUCACCAAGGCGACGAUGCGUAGCCGACCUGAGAGGGUGAUCGGCCACACUGGGACUGAGACACGGCCCAGACUCCUACGGGAGGCAGCAGUAGGGAAUCUUCCGCAAUGGACGAAAGUCUGACGGAGCAACGCCGCGUGAGUGAUGAAGGUUUUCGGAUCGUAAAGCUCUGUUGUUAGGGAAGAACAAGUGCCGUUCAAAUAGGGCGGC